AACCACCUAUUGAUGAGGUUUCAAAAAAAUCAUUUGCAUUCAUCAUCCCAUUUAGUUCAAAUGGAUUUUCAAUUAGAAUCUCUCUCAUUGAUGGUGUGAUAUAGAUUUUUUCCCUAAUCAUGAUUGACGUAUAUUUCCAGCGCAUUAGAAGGGAUUUAUACAUGCUGCGUACACUGAUCGGUCAGUUCUCCGCCCACCCUGAGGCGUCAGUUUAAAGAUACCAUCAACAUCCACUACUUCAUAGUCUCAUCGUCCGUAUAUUUUUCUCUCUCUCUUUUCUCAUGCAGCGGUGUCAUCCUUAGAAGAGUUCAAGAAUUUAACGGACCACUACAAGGCGUCUCAAAAUGUGGAUAAGGAUUUAUUUGUCCAAGAUACCAGACCGGGUUGCCUGACAGCUAUCUAUGAUAGAGCAAGUACAGAUCUUAAGGAUAUAUACGCUAAGUUCAAGGAAUACCACGAAGAUGAAGUGACGGUGAUUAGUAUGCAAGCAAGUAGCUUGCUAGCAGCGGAAUACAAAGCACAGUCGGAAUAUAAUAUCAUCUUUCCAAGG